rnacentral:rRNA from 1 species
CCCUAUGGGGUGCAGCAGUCACGGAACCUUUACAAUGCACGAAAGUGUGAUAAGGGGAUCCCAAGUGCUUUGCCAAUGGUAAGGCUUUUGUUGAGUGUAAGGAGCUUGAUGAAUAAGGGGUGGGUAAGACUGGUGCCAGCCGCCGCGGUAACACCAGCGCCCCGAGUGGUGAUCACGAUUAUUGGGUCUAAAGCGUUCGUAGCCGGUUUGGUCUGUUUCUUGUGAAAUUGUUAGGCUUAACUUAACAUCGUGCAAGAAAUACUGCCAAACUAGAGACCGGGAGGAGAUAGAUGUAUUCCGGGGGGAGCGGUAAAAUGUUAUAAUCCUCGGAGGACGACCAGUGGCGAAGGCUUCUAUCUAGAACGGAUCUGACGGUGAGGAACGAAGGCCUGGGGAGCGAAAUGGAUUAGAUACCCAAGUAGUCCAGGCUGUAAACUCUGUGAACUGAGUGGUGCACUUUCUUCGUGAAUGUGCAUGGCUUAAGCGAAGGCGUUAAGUUCACCACCUGGGAAGUAUAGUCGCAAGGCCGAAACUUAAAGGAAUUGGCGGGGGCUCACUACAAGCGGUGGAGCGUGCGGUUUAAUCUAACUAUACGCAGAGAAUCUCACCAGGAGCGACGGCAGGAUGAAAGUCAGAUUAAAGGUUUUACCUGACAAGCCGAGAAGAGGUGCAUGGCC